UACGUAGGGUGCGAGCGUUGUCCGGAAUUAUUGGGCGUAAAGAGCUCGUAGGCGGUCUGUCGCGUCGAAUGUGAAAACCCGGGGCUCAACUCCGGGCUUGCAUUCGAUACGGGCAGGCUAGAGUUCGGUAGGGGAGUCUGGAAUUCCUGGUGUAGCGGUGAAAUGCGCAGAUAUCAGGAGGAACACCGGCGGCGAAGGCGGGACUCUGGGCCGAUACUGACGCUGAGGAGCGAAGGCGUGGGGAGCGAACAGG
rnacentral:rRNA from 1 species